AUUGAACGCUGGCGGCAUGCCUUACACAUGCAAGUCGAACGGCAGCACGGAGCUUGCUCUGGUGGCGAGUGGCGAACGGGUGAGUAAUAUAUCGGAACGUACCCAAGAGUGGGGGAUAACGUAGCGAAAGUUACGCUAAUACCGCAUACGAUCUAAGGAUGAAAGUGGGGGCUCGCAAGACCUCAUGCUCCUGGAGCGGCCGAUAUCUGAUUAGCUAGUUGGUGAGGUAAAGGCUCACCAAGGCAUCGAUCAGUAGCUGGUCUGAGAGGACGACCAGCCCAACUGGAACUGAGACACGGUCCAGACUCCUACGGGAGGCAGCAGUGGGGAAUUUUGGACAAUGGGGGCAACCCUGAUCCAGCAAUGCCGCGUGAGUGAAGAAGGCCUUCGGGUUGUAAAGCUCUUUUGUCAGGGAAGAAACGGUGAAGGCUAAUAUCCUUUGCUAAUGACGGUACCUGAAGAAUAAGCACCGGCUAACUACGUGCCAGCCGCCGCCGUAA
rnacentral:rRNA from 1 species